CAGUCCCCUGUGGGCACAGCAGUGUGGAAGCCAAUACUAUGCAACAGGAGUCUGUUCUGAAAUCAGUCCAAGUUUCCAGAUCCUAAGAAGCUUUUCUCCUGCUGUUCAAAAAUGUUCCUCUGUCAUAGAUGUUGUGGUGGUUUGUGAUGAGUCAAACAGCAUCUAUCGCUGGGAUGCAGUGCGUGCUUUUUUGAAAAAGUUUGUGCAGGGCUUAGACAUAGGCUCUAUCAAAACCCAGGUAAGUCAAAGACAUCUUUGGAAAAGACAGAG